AUGCAUUGGGGAAUUCGGACCGUGAAAUGCUUUUCAUGCUUCAGGCCUGAGAAGAAGACGUCGCCGAGGAGGACGGGGUCAGGGGAGGUCGCCACCUCCCCCGUCGCAAAUGCCGCCGUCUCGACGCGAUCUGGAGCACCCCCCAUGGAAUCUGAGGGUCCGAAACAUGGGCAAUCAUCAUCCGAAGUAAGAGCAAACGGUGAACCUGCCGAAAGGUCUAGCAUGGCCAAAAAUGCAAGAGCAUUCACAUACCGUGAGUUAGCGACAGCCACCAAGAACUUCCGCUCCGACUACCUUCUGGGAGAGGGGGGCUUUGGCAGGGUCUACAAGGGACAGCUUGAAAAUGGCCAGAUUGUAGCUGUCAAACAACUAGACCUGAAUGGACUUCAAGGCAACCGCGAGUUCCUGGUUGAAGUCUUGAUGCUCAGCCUCUUGCACCAUCCAAACCUGGUCAGCUUGGUAGGCUAUUGCGCAGACGGAGAUCAACGGCUACUGGUGUACGAGUACAUGGCCCUAGGUUCACUUGCAGACCACCUGCUUGAUACCACUACUGAUCAAAUACCACUAAGUUGGUAUAGAAGGAUGAAGAUAGCCCACGGAACCGCUAAGGGUCUCGAAUACCUCCAUGAGAAGGCUAACCCGCCGGUCAUCUACCGGGAUCUCAAGUCCCCCAACAUCCUUCUUGAUGAGGAAUACAACCCUAAACUCUCAGACUUCGGGCUCGCAAAGCUUGGGCCUGUUGGGGAAAAGACGCACGUCUCAACUCGAGUGAUGGGCACAUAUGGGUACUGUGCUCCAGAAUAUAUAAAAACAGGCCAGCUAACUAUCAAGACUGAUGUGUACAGUUUUGGGAUAUUCCUACUUGAGUUGAUCACAGGAAGAAAAGCUGUCGAUUCAACGAAACCAGCAAGCGAUCAAAUCUUGGUUAACUGGGCAAUGCCCAUUAUCAGAGAUAGGAGAAGGUACCAUGAGUUAGUAGACCCUCUUCUUAGAGGUGAAUACCCAGAAAAAGACUUGAGCCAGGCUGUGGCUGUGGCAGCAAUGUGCCUACAUGAGGAAGACUCUGUGCGGCCAUACAUGAGUGAUGCUGUUGUUGCAUUGGGAUUCCUCGCAGAAGUGCCCGCUGGCUGUGAAGAGAAACCUAGUGUCGCGUCCCAAAAGAAACAGGCUGAAGAUCCCCCAUUAUCUAAUGGAACUCAGCAAGAUAAGAGCACAUUCGAUCGUCAAAGAGUUGUUGCUGAGGCCAUCGAGUGGGGCGCCAUGAGGCAAAAACAGAAAGCUCAAACUCAAGGAAAGACAACUGAUUCCCAGUGCAUUACAGAUCCUAUUGAAGCCAACAGGGUGUAA
rnacentral:rRNA from 1 species